AUGUACGGUUACCAUGCUGCACCUUGGUCCAGUCCUUCAGCCAGCCGUGACAGAGAUGGUUUGUCAAAGAAGAAUGCUAGAAAGUGUAAGCAGAGGGAGCUGAAGACAGAAGGAGCAAUGGAAGUAAAUGAGAGUGAAGUAUUGGAGGUGGUAGGUGCUGUAAAUUUAUCGGAGACCGAGGUAUGUACCAAGGACCAGGAGGAAGAAGAGUCUGUGACAGUAGGAGUGAAGUUUAUGGAAAAAGUGGACUCUUGACUUUUGGCUGAUCCAUUUGUGGUUUCAUGGACGACCGCUUGGUCAUCAAUCUGCACCUAAUGCAUACCACCUACUUCCUAUUUGUGAUGGUCAUCACCAUGUUCUGUUAUGCAGUCAUCAAGGGCCGGCCAGGGAAAGUACGGACAACCACCAAUCACGACUUCUGCCCUGAAAAGGGGUAAGAAGAAAUCUAGGAUCUCCACCAUAACUGAACUAUAGCUGAGGAGAAGGUUGAAGAAUAAAUCAUGUCCAGUUGCCUACUGAACCCUGAAAAACUACAGGGGUGCAAAACUCUCAAUGUUGGGUCACUCCAGCCAAUGACAUAUAAGUGCCUGUAUCUACUGUGUAAAUAUUUGUAGGAACUCUUGAAUUCAAUACAGAAACAGUUUGCCUGA